AGUGAACGCUGGCGGUAGGCCUAACACAUGCAAGUCGAACGGCAGCACAGUAAGAGCUUGCUCUUACGGGUGGCGAGUGGCGGACGGGUGAGGAAUACAUCGGAAUCUACUUUUUCGUGGGGGAUAACGUAGGGAAACUUACGCUAAUACCGCAUACGACCUACGGGUGAAAGCAGGGGAUCUUCGGACCUUGCGCGAUUGAAUGAGCCGAUGUCGGAUUAGCUAGUUGGCGGGGUAAAGGCCCACCAAGGCGACGAACCGUAGCUGGUCUGAGAGGAUGAUCAGCCACACUGGAACUGAGACACGGUCCAGACUCCUACGGGAGGCAGCAGUGGGGAAUAUUGGACAAUGGGCGCAAGCCUGAUCCAGCCAUACCGCGUGAGUGAAGAAGGCCUUCGGGUUGUAAAGCCCUUUUGUUGGGAAAGAAAAGCAGCAGGUUAAUACCCCGCUGUUCUGACGGUACCCAAAGAAUAAGCACCGGCUAACUUCGUG
rnacentral:rRNA from 1 species